GUAGUCCACGCCGUAAACGAUGAAUGCUAGGUGUUAGGGGUUUCAAUACCCUUGGUGCCGAAGUUAACACAUUAAGCAUUCCGCCUGGGGAGUACGCCCGCAAGGGUGAAACUCAAAGGAAUUGACGGGGACCCGCACAAGCAGUGGAGUAUGUGGUUUAAUUCGAAGCAACGCGAAGAACCUUACCAGGCCUUGACAUCCCCCUGAAUGGGUUAGAGAUAAUCCAGGCUUUCGGGACAGGGGAGACAGGUGGUGCAUGGUUGUCGUCAGCUCGUGUCGUGAGAUGUUGGGUUAAGUCCCGCAACGAGCGCAACCCUUGAUUUUAGUUGCCAGCAUUGAGUUGGGCACUCUAGAAUGACUGCCGGUGACAAACCGGA
rnacentral:rRNA from 1 species